GUUAGAGAAUAGCUUUCAAGAUUGCCAAAAAUUCAUCAACAUUUGGGUUCCUUUGCUGCUCCAUUUCCACUGAUAUAAAUGGCCAGUUUUCAAAUGGAACGUGAAAAGUUGCAAUCUAAAGUCUGAUUUACUUUAUUAAACAAGAUAUUCACCAAGGGGAAGUCAUGUUUGACCAACCUGAUAGCCUUUUAUGAAGACGUAACCAGGUGGAUAGAUGAUGGUAAAGCAGUGGAUGUGGUCUAUCUUGAUUUUAGGAGAGCAUUUGGCACCUUCUCCCACAGCAUCCUCGCAGCUAAACUGAGGAAGGUGGUGUGGACGAUCGAGUAGUGAGGGGGACUGCAAACCAGCUGAAGGAAAGAAGCCAGAGAGUUGUGGUCAGUGGGACAGAGUGAGUCUAGUUGGAGGCCUGUAGCUAGUGGAGUCCCUCAAGGGUCGGUACUGGGACCAGUACCAUUCACUAUAUUCUUCAGUGACUUGGAUGAGGGGGCAGAGUGCACUGUUAGCAAGCUUGCUGAUGACACAAAACUGGGAGAAGUGGCUGGCACGCCAGAAGGCUGUGCUGCCACCCAGCAAGACCUAGAUAGGCUGGAGAGUUGGGCAGGGAGAAAUUAGAUGAAAUACAGCAAGGGCAAGCGUAGAGACGUGUAUCUGGGCAAGAACAACACCAGGUACCAGUAUAGGUUGAGGACUGACCCGUUGGAGAGCAGCGCAGGGAGGAGGGAUCCUGGUGGACAGCAGGGUGACCAUAAGCCAGCACUGCAAGAAGGCCAAUGGCACCCUGGGGUGUAUUAGAUGGAGUGUGGUUAGUAGGUCGAAAAAGGUUCUCCUCCCCCUCUACUCUGCCCUGGUGAGACCGCAUCUGCAGUAUUAUGUCCAGUUCUGGGCCCCUCCGUUCAAGAAGGACAGGGAACUGCUUGAGAGAGUCCAGCGCAGAGCCACAAAGAUGACGAAGGGACUGGAGCUUACCUUCCUUACCAGGAAAGGCCGAGGGAGCUGGGUCUCUUCAGCUUGGAGGAGAGGAGACUGAGAGGUGGCCUUAUUAAUGUUUCUAAAUAUGCAAAAGGUGUGCAUCAGGAGAAUGGAGCCAGGCUCUUCUCAGUGACAUCCAGUGAUAGGACAAGGGGUAAUGGGUGCAAGCUGGAACAUAGGAGGUUCCACAGAAAUAUGAGAAGAAACUUCUUCAUGGUGAGGGUAACAGAGCACUGGAACGGGCUGCCCAGAGGGGUUGUGGGGUCUCCUUCUCUGGAGACGUUCAAAAUCUGCCUGGACACGUCCCUGUGUGACCUAAUCAAGGCGUUCCUUCUAAGACGGGGGAGGGGGAUUGGACUAGAUGAUCUUGCAAGGUUCUAUCCAAACCCUGACAUUUGGUGAUUCUGCAAUUCUAUAACUGAUAUGGAGAAGAGACAGCAGCUAUUACAACGAAGAAUUAAAAAAAAAAAAAAAAACAACUGGCAUUUAAUUUUUCAAGAUAAAUAAUACAAUGUUUUUUAGCUAAUCCUCUUCUCUUCUCUUCUCUUCUCUUCUCUUCUC
ensembl:lncRNA